CGCUCUGGUUUCUCUUCAGAUAGCAUAAAUCUUUUGCCAUUUGCUAAAGAUUUCUGUGGAGAGGUAAAGAUUGAAAGGUGAUCAAAUGCUGCGAAAUUGCCACAUAGGGGCGCCU
ensembl:snRNA U5 U5 spliceosomal RNA